rnacentral:rRNA from 1 species
AGACGAACCGUCCGAACGUUAUUCGGUAUCACUGGGCUUAAAGAGUUCGUAGGCGGCCCGACAGGUGAGGUGUGAAAUCCCUCGGCUCAACCGAGGAACUGCGCUUCAAACCGUCAGGCUUGAGGGAGACAGAGGUAGGCGGAACAGAUGGUGGAGCGGUGAAAUGCGUUGAUAUCAUCUGGAACACCGGUGGCGAAAGCGGCCUACUGGGUCUUUUCUGACGCUGAGGAACGAAAGCUAGGGUAGCGAACGGGAUUAGAUACCCCGGUAGUCCUAGCCGUAAACGAUGAGCACUAGCCCGUGGGGACUCUCACAUCCUCUCGGGCGUAGCGAAAGUGUUAAGUGCUCCGCCUGGGGAGUAUGGUCGCAAGGCUGAA